CUGAUUCAAGGAGAAGAAAGGACCCAGRCUAAGUUUUUCUGACCCAGGAGCAUCAGCUCUGCUAUUAGAUUCCUUCACCCUAGCUCAUGGCCAGCUUUUGUUCUUCUACUGUCUUCAAACUUCUUUUGUUCUGCUACUGUAAAAGCCAUGGAGAAAAAUAGUGACUGUGCUGCCUCAAAUGCUUCCACCUCUCAUGUGUGCCUGGGAGCCAUCCCCACAGGACUUGUCCCUAGAUGCCUAGGGCACACUGAAGACGCAGGAGUAACCAGGAGGAUAUAUGAUCCGAGGGCCAGCAGUUGGACAGAGCUAAACUUCAACCUUUGACACUUUAACCUUGCUGAAGUUGCUGAUGCUGACGUGUUGGGAACUUUGAAAAGUUCAGGAAGUCAUCUCAGCCAGGAAUGCCUUCCCACCACUGAGAGYGGAAAGAGAUUCAGCAGGAAGAGCUUCAAAAGCAACUACGAGGAGCAGAAUCAAGGCUGUAUUUCACAGACUUUGCUAYGUAGCCUUGUUCUCACCCACUCUCCCAUAUGUCCUCUCUACAGUGAUUUCCAGUUAAUUCUCUUCCAUCAGCACUGUUCUGGCUGUAACAUGGCUUUCCAGCUCUUGCCAGCUGACUAUUUAACAAGCCA